rnacentral:rRNA from 1 species
UACAGAGGUCUCAACCGUUGUUCGGAUUCAUUGGGCGUAAAGGGUGCGUAGGUGGUCGCGCAAGUCGGAUGUGAAAUCUCAGGGCUCAACCCUGAAACUGCAUUCGAUACUGCGUGGCUAGAGUGCUGGAGGGGAGACUGGAAUUUACGGUGUAGCAGUGAAAUGCGUAGAUAUCGUAAGGAAGACCAGUGGCGAAGACGAGUCUCUGGACAGCAACUGACGCUGAGGCACGAAGGCCAGGGGAGCAAACGGG